AACGAACGCUGGCGGCAGGCUUAACACAUGCAAGUCGAGCGCCCCGCAAGGGGAGCGGCAGACGGGUGAGUACCGCGUGGGAACGUACCUUUUGGUUCGGAACAACUCCGGGAAACUGGAGCUAAUACCGGAUAAGCCCUAACGGGGAAAGAUUUAUCGCCGAAAGAUCGGCCCGCGUCUGAUUAGCUAGUUGGUGAGGUAACGGCUCACCAAGGCGACGAUCAGUAGCUGGUCUGAGAGGAUGAUCAGCCACACUGGGGGUGAGACACGGCCCAGACUCCUACGCGAGGCAGCAGAGGGGAACAUAGGAAAAUCGGCGCAAGGCUGAUCCAGCCAUGCCGCGUAAGCGAUGAAGGCCUUAGGGUUGUAAAGCUCUUUUGUCCGGGAAGAUAAUGACGGUACCGGAAGAAUAAGCCCCGGCUAACUUCGUG
rnacentral:rRNA from 1 species